CUGGGGCCCCGCUCCGCCCCGCCGUAAUCUUUGCGUCCUUCCCGCUCGAUUUUGCAAGUAGGAUUGCGCCCAUCUUCCUGGAGAAGAAGGUGGGGUUUGGAGAGAACCCGGAAGCGGGGCGGGGGCGCAGGCUCCUAGGGCUUUUGUUGCCGGGUGCAUGGGCGUAGUGCCGAGGGUAGCAGGGCACGCCACUUCCGUGCGCUGCGUGCGCCGUGCGCUACGUGCGCACGACGGGCGGGAAUUGAAGAUUACGGCUAGCCUCGCCCCUGGCUCUGCCCCCUUGAAGCCCCGCCUAGGGGUUUCCAUGGUGAUGAUAAACUAGCCUCAAAUGCCUCAGCUAGGCCUCCGCAUUCCGUCCUCUAGGUGCUCAGAGGUACGACCGAGGUGCUGAAUGUGUAUAAGAGCGGGAGUGUGGAGACUCGAAACCCGAGCAGAGGGGUGGGACGGGAAGCGUGUUCGAGACCAGCACCCCUUGACCAACUGGGGACUCUUGGGGUCGGGACAGCGGGUCUGCGAUUUGGGAUGGGGGCGGAGUCGCUCUUUGCAGAGGCAGCAAGGAGUAUCCUUGGCUUCAGUGGAGGAGUCUUCAGCCCACCCGGGAGACGGAGACCGGAGGAGCCGGAAGGGGACGAAUUUGAGGAAAAUCCCUUUUUUAGGGCAGGGAUGUCGGGGGAGCCCUAGACGGAUCCGUAUCCUAGGACCUGGAGGUUUGAGAGGUCUGCGCCUGCCUGCGAGGACACCUUAAACGGUGCAGACGUGGUAACGGGACAGGACGUGGUGUGUGUGCCCCAGUAAUGAUAUGGGGUUCCUAAGGCAUCUUGGUUGCUGCCAGACACCAAGGGCACCUUAACUACCUCUCUUCCAGCCUAGGAGUGGACCCACAACUGCUUUCCCAGCCCUCUGUGUACAAGAAGGAGGGAGCCCCAAAACUCAAGCUGUCGCUGGAGCUUCUUGCAUCUUUUCAAGCUGUCAUCUCCUGCAGGUUUUGGACUAUGGAUACAACUCGCCACAAAAAGUCGUACCCAAGCGAGUUUGAUGCCUGUCCUAUCAGGUGUCUCUGCUGCUUGGUCCUGAAGGCCGUGGAGGACUGGUGGCCCAGCUCGUCCUGGUGCUUGUCUGCUGAGAUGUGCAGAAUUUCCAGAACUGAAUAUGGGGCAUCUGGUGUUGAUCUCAUUUUUUUGUUGGAUGCUAAUCAGAAGAUUAUAUCAAAUGGCCCUGAAAAAAGACAGAGAAACCAUGGGACACAGGUAUACUGAAGUAUUCUAGUCCCACAGAAAUGAAGCAGGUGGGUGUUGAAGCACAGUGAAACAUACUGUAUUAGUCAAGACAGCUGGUUUAUAGGAAACCUCUACUGAUUCCAGCCUAACCUUACAUGGGGAACCCAGGAACAACGAAUAGCUGUUUUUAUAGAAGUGGAAGCUGUGUAACCCAAUUUGCACCAUGAACUUGUGAAAUCAGUUGUUUAUUUUUUUAGAAUCCCUUUUCAGUAUUUCGUAAUGCCUCAAAAUGCUUCUUGCAUGUUGAGCUUAUUUCAAUUUAUAUUGUAGUGGCAUACCUCAGCAGUUGUAUAUUUAUAUUGAAGUAAUUUCAGUUCUGUGAAAUAACUUUUAUACCAUACUGAUCUAACACAUUCAGGAGACAUGCUUUUAAAAAAUUCUAUUAAAGGUCUUAGAUCCAUAAUAUUUCAAAAAUUUGAUGCUUUUUUUCCUUCUAAUCUUUUUUUCCCCCAUUUAAAAUCCUUUAAGGUAACUUCAGAUUUUACAACAUUAAAUUUGAAAAUUGAAAUAUAAUACCAAUACUGUUGGGUUUUGGUCUUUGUGACUAUGUGAAAUUGUGAAGCCUUAAUUUAAGCUUCUCUUUUUAUCAUUAUUUCCUUUUAGGUGUGCUUUGCUAAGUGAAACAUUUAAUAAUUUUGUUAGCAAAUUAAAUUAUUUUUCAAAGAAAGACUCUCAGGAUUCAGGAUAUAGUUGUGCUUGUGGCCAUGACUUAUUACCACAUAAGGAGGCAGAGUAGAAUCAGCAAAAAGGAAAAAAAGUGCCUGGGAUGAAGUCCAGAGGUAACUGGACAUGAGCUUCCCAGAAUCCUCUGUUAGUGGACUCCCACAGGAUGCACUGAAUUCCCCCGACAACUAGCUGCAGCACUCGUGGGAAGUGUUGUCUACCAGGGAAGUUUAUCAAAGGCUAGGAGUCCAGGGUGUUUCUUGGGGGUCAGUCAUGGAGGCAACAUGGUACCCAUAUGAUUGAUGAGGGAAGCAGGUGUUCAGCAGUGACCACAUCAUUUGUUAGUUUAGGUGUGUAUUGAGCCACUCUUAUCAUUUAGGGGAAGUUUUAUGUGAAUGUAGGCAACUGUUUCCCAGGUAAGUUCUCAGAUACCAGACAAGGGCCAGUCUUGCAAGCAGGCCUUUCUAAGCAGAGGAGGCUCAGGCCUGCUAUGUUAACUCUUUUUGGCAUGAAAUAUAAAUGGCACAAACACACCAGUGAAAUGACAGAUUGUCAGAGUGGAUUAAAAAAAGACUCAAUGUGUAUAAGAGUCAUUAUGUAUAUGACUACCUAUAAAUAAUAGGUAGUUUUAAAGAGAUGAGAAAAGGUAUAACAUGCAAACAGUAAAAAAAAAAAAAAAGGAUAUCUGAUGUGAAUGUAUUGCUAUCAGACAAAGCAGGCUUUUGAACAAUGAAAAUUACCAGAAAUAAAGAGUAUGUAAUGAAAAAAGACUGAGUAGCCAGAACUAUUUUGAAAAAGGAUAAAAUUGGAGGAAUCACACCACUACCCAAUUUUAAGACUUACUAUAAAGCUAUUGGAAUCAAGAGAGUAUGGUAUUGGUGGAAGGAUAGACUGGUUAGUGGGACAGAAUAGAGAGUCCAGAAAUUGACACAGACAUGGCCAAUUUUUGACAACAAAUUCAAUGGAAACAAUUUGCAACAAUUCAAUGGAAAAAGAAUAGUCCUAUAAAUAAGUGCUGGAACGACCAGAUGUCCAUCUGCAAAUAAAAUGAACCCUAACUGAAACCUCACACUUUACAUAUUAACUCAGAAUGGAUCACAGAUCCAACUAUAAAACUAUAAAGUGAUUUGUUAGUUAAACCCGUUAGGACUAUGUUGAAGUAACAGCAAUGAAAUAUAUCCUAAGAAUACCUCCCUUACGGUGUGUGUAACAUGAUGUGUACCACCACUGUUAUAAAUGAGGGAACAGGCAAAUAGAAAAUUGGCAACCUAAGGGCGCAGAGUUUGUAAAUGUGUCUCUCAGUGAUGGUUUAUGAGGGAUUUGUGUUGACAGAAGAGAUGGUGAAGAAAGGGAUGGGGUAGGAAGCAACUGUUUUAGAAGACAAUUUUUCUCAGGAGGGUCUGGAUAUCGGAAACUUGUUGCUUCUGCUGAUUCUGUUAAUAAAUCACAAUUCCCCAUCUGUAUGUAUUGCCUAUUCAAUUUCUUGGAAUCCCUACAUCAAAGGAAACACUGUAAUCCAUGGACUGGGAAGGUGAGAGGUUCACCCUCCCUGGUGGCGUGUGUCAGUUGUCCUGGGAUUGGACCCAGCUGGACUGCCCAAUGCUGAGAUGCUCCACCUGUCCUUACCUUACCCCACGUAAGAAGUUCUGUUUUGUAUCUGCACACAAUUUCUAGUUUGUCCUUAUAAAUGUCAUGCUUUUCUCAGUAAAGUUAUACCUUGAUACUUUUAUGUUUACAGCAAUACGAAUAGAAUUUCAUUGUAUUUAUCAAAUUACUAUUGGUGAACAGGGAAGUUUUCAGGUGAUUUGCUUAAAUUAAGUUCAAAUGUCCUGCUAGUAUUUCAGUAGUUCUUUUUCCUUUAGUUUUGUCUUCAAUUCAUUUUUAAAUUUAUUUAUUUAAAAAAAAAUUGGGGGGGGCUAGGUAAUUAGGCUUACUUUUUUGUUUUAUUUUUAGAGGAGGUGCUGGGGAUUGAACCUAGGACCAUGUGUAUGCUAAGCGUGCGCUCUAACACUUGAGCUAUAUCCUCCCGCCUCAAUUCAUUUUUAAAACUUGAUCUCUUUUUAAUAGGUAUUCUACUUCUGUUUCUUGAAUUAUUGUAUUGAUAAGAAUUUGGGGACAAUAUUAAUAAUGGUGAUGCUAAGUCUCCUUGUUUGGUUAUCAGAUUUAAUUUGGUGGAAUUAUUUUCGUGUUUUAUCAUUAGGUAAAAGGUUAUAUAGGGGCUAUCUAAAACCCUUAAUUCUGUUAGAAGAUUAUAUUAUCUCUGUUUUCUAAAGCCAUGUUCAGAACCUCAUGGCAUACCAUCUGUAUUCCAGGCACAAAACCCGUCUUUUCAUUUUUAUCGUAAUAAAAUCUGGGGUGGUGAUUUACUAUUUCAAUCACUCGUCUAAGACUUUCUACUUCCUGCCAUGAUCCCUGCUCUGUGGUUGUGACACAGACUACUUGUAUUAAUAGGGCUGCUGUGCAAAUUGCCACAGAUCUGGUGGCUUAAAAAGGGAAUUUAUUAUCUUACAGGGCUAGAGGCCAGAAGUUGGACAUCAAAGCAUCUGCAGAGUUGGCUCCUCCUGGUGGUUCCAAGAGGGAGUCCAUUCCAGUCCUCUCCUAGCUUCUGGUGGCUGCUGGCAAUCUUUGUUGUUCCUUGGCUUGGGACUGCCCUCUGAACUCUGCUGCCAUCUUCACAUGGCCUUUUCCUCUGUGUAUCUCUGUAUGUCUUCUUUCCUGUCUCUCAGAAAGACACCCUGCAUUGGAUUUACGGCCCACCCUAAUCCAGGAUAAUCUCACCUCCAGAUCCUUACUUGAACUACAUCUGCAAAGACCCUUAUUCCAAACAAGGUCACCUUCACAGCUUCCUGAGUUUAGAACUUGGACAUACUUUGCAGAGGCCACUAUUCAACCCAUGACAUUACUAAAUGUAACAACUUGCUCGAGUCCCUCUUGGUAGGAAUGAUGCCAGAUAUUCCUGGAUAGGAAGGUGAAUGAGAGUAAUGCCUUUAAUAUCACAUAUUCUAAUUCCAAGAAAAGAUAUAGAAUCCCUCACACUUUUAGAAUGACAUGUGUUAAGUAUAAUGAAGAGAU